rnacentral:piRNA from 1 species
GACUUGGUUAGCUCUGCUCUUUCUUGUC